CACGCCGCGUGAGUGAUGAAGGUUUUCGGAUCGUAAAGCUCUGUUGUUAGGGAAGAACAAGUACCGUUCGAAUAGGGCGGUGCCUUGACGGUACCUAACCAGAAAGCCACGGCUAACUACGUGCCAGCAGCCGCGGUAAUACGUAGGUGGCAAGCGUUGUCCGGAAUUAUUGGGCGUAAAGGGCUCGCAGGCGGUUUCUUAAGUCUGAUGUGAAAGCCCCCGGCUCAACCGGGGAGGGUCAUUGGAAACUGGGGAACUUGAGUGCAGAAGAGGAGAGUGGAAUUCCACGUGUAGCGGUGAAAUGCGUAGAGAUGUGGAGGAACACCAGUGGCGAAGGCGACUCUCUGGUCUGUAACUGACGCUGAGGAGCGAAAGCGUGGGGAGCGAACAGGAUUAGAUACCCUGGUAGUCCACGCCGUAAACGAUGAGUGCUAAGUGUUAGGGGGUUUCCGCCCCUUAGUGCUGCAGCUAACGCAUUAAGCACUCCC
rnacentral:rRNA from 1 species